rnacentral:RNase_P_RNA from 1 species
AAUUGGAUAGUCGCGUAUAGCAAGGUCGAAAGGCAGCGUACGAGGAAAGUCCGGACUCCAUAGAGUAAGGAUGCUGGAUAACGUCCAGUGAGGGUAACCUUAAGGAAAGUGCAACAGAAAAUAACCGCCUAGAAUUUUAGGUAAGGAUGAAAAGGCAGGGUAAGAGCCUACCGCUGGUAUGGUGACAUACUAGGCAGUGUAAACCCCAUCUGGAGCAACACCGAAAGCAGAAGGCUAAGACUACUCGUCAUCUUCUAAUUUGGUGGCACGAAAUUUAUAGUAAUAUAAAUUCUAGAUAAAUGACUAUCUUAGACAGAACCCGGCUUAUAGAUUUACUA